UACUUAUGUGGACUUUGUAUGUCAAUGUAUUUUUUAGCAAUUUAUUUUGCUUGGGAUUUUGUUUUACUUUUUUCUUGCUUCAGCCAUCUUUUGCUAAUGGGACCAACAAUUUUUGAAGUGUUUGGGAUCUUGUAUCUCCUUUGAAUUCUUUACAAGACAUGGUUUCUUUAUAGUUUUGGGCUUCUGCAGCCAUAUUUUAAGUUGACAGGAGCCUUUCAUGUCCCUGUUUGAAUUGCUUGAUACACCAUUCUGGCUGUUUUUUUAAUGCAGUUGGCCUCUGAAAUGUCUCUGUGUUUAUCUAGUCACUUUGAUGAGUUAGCUUUGCUCUUACUUUCUUGAUUGAUUUAGUGAAUGGAUGAUAGAACCUUUAUCACAUCUGAAUUACUUUUUACUUAUGCUAGCUUUUUGUAUGAGGCUAAAAUGGUAAAUUAAAGCUCAGGUAUUUGGUGUUUCUGAAGAAUUUGGUGCUCACAUUUACUUCUUGCUGUGGACACAUGUUGGGUGCAAUUUCUUUUCUUUGCUUUUCUUUUAAUUAAGUGUUCAAAGCUUUGUUUGAUGAUUGGAAAAUUUUGACAGGCAUGAGAACAAAAAAAAUUCAAAACCACCACUGCUAAAAAACAGGAACAACUAGGACCUGCCUUCCAUCAUGCAGAAAUGGUAUCUCUGAGAUGUGAUAUUGCCAUGGAAGGUCUAGCAAGAAAAAACAUUUCAGGACCACAUGCUAGGUAGACAGGCAAAUGAGAAACUAGACUGAUGCCUACCGCAGUGCUAGUUCUACCGGGAAAAGGACUUGUGGUUGUGGUCAAGCUACAAGGUGCUUCUUGUCAAAGCCAUACAGUGAGGAUGGAGAACAUGAAGAUUACGCAUUUGUGACUUCCAGGUUUUAAAUUCCCUCCUAGUGAAUGAAAUACUUGCAGGACUAGUCUGUAUCAUCCAUCAGUAUCCCACCAUGCUGCCAUGGUCAUCUUCCAGAAGUCAUGAAAGUAGGUGGCUGAGAAGGAAGGUUUUGUCUCUCUCCAAUAUUUCGCUUCUGGACUUGAUGGAAGGUGCAUAAAUAUUUGUAAUCAUCGGUUUCAGGGGUGGAGUAGAGAAGUCCUCCAUCUUUUGAUCUCCAGGGAAGGAGCUGUCCUCUUUUUGCCUGCUCCACUUCCGAAGUCACUUUGCCUGCAAAGUAAUCAGGUAGAUGCUAAUUCUAAUAAUCCACGGCAGGCUGUUCUGUCAUAGCAUUCAUUCAUGUGCGUUUGUGGGCUUCCUCUGUCAUCAAUGACUUUUGUCUCAGACGAACACAGUACCUGUGGAUGCAUGUUGAUCCCAAUGAUGACAAGGUGACAAAUUAAAUGGUUAUAUAUUCUAAAUUUUGCUAGAAAUUCACAUUGGAAACUUGCAAAUUGCCUCACAUAAAUCUUUAAUUUUCUCUUUUACACUUUGAGAUGUGCUCUGUUAAAAAUGUCCCUUCAUAGCAUGAAAAUUCAUCUGGUUAAAAAUGCAGAAUGAGACAAACUCAGCAAAUUCAAGAAUUAUUAGAUUAAAUUGGGCUUUGGAUUUGGUUGAAGCUUACUCCAUUUUGAGAAUAUUCUUAG